rnacentral:misc_RNA from 1 species
GAUGAAGAACGUAGCGAAAUGCGAUAAGUAAUGUGAAUUGCAGAAUUCCGUGAAUCAUCGAAUCUUUGAACGCACAUUGCGCCCUCUGGUAUUCCGAGGGGCAUGCCUGUUCGAGCGUCAUUAUAACCCCUCAAGCUCAGCUUGGUGUUGGGGCCUGCUGCACUGGCAGCCCUUAAAAUCAGUGGCGGCGCCAUCUGGCUCUAAGCGUAGUAAUUCUUCUCGCUAUGGAGUCCUGGUGGAUGCUUGCCAUCAACCCCCAAUUUUUCUAUGGUUGACCUCGGAUCAGGUAGGGAUACCCGCUGAACUUAAGCAUAUCAAUAAGCGGAGGA